GUCUAGAGCCAUGCCACCCUGAACAAGACCGAUGUCUGAUCUUGGAAGCUAAGCAGGUUUGGGCCUGGUUAGUACUUGGAUGGGAGACCACCCAGGAAGACCAGGUCCUGUAGGCG
rfam:Pteropus alecto contig93889, whole genome shotgun sequence.